UCAUGCCCCUCGUCCAACCACCUUGUGCGGUUAUCCUGCGUGAGGAAUCGGCAUGCCAAGCGCGGGCUCCCAUACUCUUCCUCCAUCAACCUGUCCUUCCCAGUGUUCCCUGCUCACAUUCUCCCACCCUGCACCCACACACCUUGCCUUCCAACAGAAUUCUGCCAACAGAGAAAGCCUACUUCAAGAAAUCUUCUGUGGGGAAGGAAACAGAGGACAAGUGGAUGUUACCCACAGCACCCUGAUGUCUCUCCUUAUCGAUUAAGGUUAACAUCAUCUGCCAAUCUGGAAUGUUUCUACAACACUCAAAAUCUGUGAAAAAUUUGAGGGUAUAGUAACUAGGCCCCUAAUUCUGGCUAGAGCAUAUGUUCUAGACUGUACUAAACAAUUUAUCUUAGAAGGCUUCAAAAUGUUUUAGAUUAAAUCAAUCCUCCUCAAGGAUAAAAAUCAGCUACUUUGCAUCUAGAUAUAAUGAUUAAAAACAAAGUUCUACAA